rnacentral:tRNA from 1 species
GGCUCGUUGGUCUAGGGGCAUGAUUCUCCUUUUGGGUGUGAGAGGUCCCAGGUUCAAAUCCAGGAUGAGCCC